UUCGUGUUUGUUACACUCACACUAAUGUAAGGCAAACUUGUGAUGGUAUGUGUGUGCCGACCACUGUUCUAAAUGUACCGACAGUUGCAUAACUGUUGAAAAGCGUUCGUGUAAAUGGAAAGCAAAAAUUCUCCACACGGCUUCCAAACUGCUUGUCUCCCAUUUUCAUACGUUUUACUUCAUUUCGUUGGUCUUCAUGGGAAAAUGAAGCCUGAUCGCUGCCUUUAUUAAGUACAGCCACCAUCAUCUGAAGCCCUCCUUCGAUACAGGGGAUAACUAUUAAUUCCUGUUACUUCUUCUUUUGAAAGCUGACGGGGACACCUUUUUUAACAUUUGUCGUCAUUCAUGCACGGGGAACCACGGUUUAAUAUUCCGCAAGGUCCAUGAAUCAUAUUGGACUUUACGAUGUUAUGUAGCACGGGACCUUCUUGUGGAUCCAGAAUUUCUGCAUGUAUUAUUUCGUCUAUUUGAUCUGAUUUUUUACCAUUCUACAGUGUACAUAAAGCAUUGACAACUGUAACAAUGUUACAAACAAUUCGCCCUUGAAUAUAAGGGCCUUUAGUGCUUUAACUUUGAAAUGAAA